GCGGGCGGGCGCGGUCAGGUGGCGCCCAACAUGGCUCCGCCGUGCCCCGGCGCCUUGCGCGGCCGCUGAGCGCAGUCGGGGCGGCGGCGGGGCCAUCAUGCAGAAGAUCAAGUCGCUGAUGACCCGCCAGGGUCUAAGAAGUCCUCAGGAGAGUGUUAAUGACCUCAGUCCUAUUGAAAGCUUCCGAGUUCCUACUAAGGAGGAGCUCAGAGAACUACAUGAAGAACCAACUGAUCCUCAGGCACAACAGGAAAUAAUUAACAGCAUUGAAGAAGUUUAUUUUUCCAAUGAUUCCUUUGAUAUUGUGAAAUAUGAGUUAGAGAGGCUUCCUCCAGUACUUAGUCUUCAAGAACUGGAAGAGUACAGAGACAAACUAAAACAACAGCAAGCUGCUGUAUCUAAGAAAGUUGCAGAUUUAAUCCUUGAGAAACAGCCUGCAUAUGUUGAGGAACUUGAACGUGUUACAUCAUUGCAGAAUGGCCUUCAGUUAGCAGCGGUAAUCUGCACAGAUGGAAGAAGACACCUGAAUAUAGCAAAGGAAGGCUUCACACAAACCAGUUUGGGGCUCCUUGCAAAUCAGAGGAAACGACAGUUGCUUAUUGGACUGCUGAAGUCUCUGAGAACAAUAAAAACACUGCAAAGAACUGAUGUACGUUUGAGUGAGAUGUUGGAGGAAGAGGAUUAUCCAGGAGCUAUUCAGCUGUGCUUGGAAUGUCAGAAAGCUGCCAGCACUUUCAAACACUACAGUUGUAUAAGUGAGUUAAAUUCAAAACUGCAAGACACCCUGGAACAAAUAGAGGAACAAUUGGAUGUAGCACUUUCCAAAAUAUGCAAGAAUUUUGAUAUCAAUCAUUAUACAAAGGUUCAACAGGCUUACAGGCUGCUUGGAAAAACACAGACAGCAAUGGACCAGUUACAUAUGCACUUCACCCAAGCCAUUCACAACACCGUGUUUCAAGUAGUCCUUGGAUAUGUGGAGCUGUGUGCAGGAAACACAGACACCAAGUUUCAGAAAUUACAAUACAAAGACCUCUGUACACAUAUUACGUCAGACAGCUACAUUCCAUGCCUUGCUGAUCUCUGCAAAGCCCUCUGGGAAGUCAUGCUCAGUUACUAUCGGACGAUGCAGUGGCAUGAGAACCAUGACCAAGAUGAGGCAGAAGUUGUGUCUUCUGUUUCAGAUGGCAACAAUGUUAUUGGAACUGAAGAGAACAGUUUUGACCGCAACUAUGUAAAAAAGAAAUUGGAGCAUGGGCUUUCACGAAUAUGGCAGGAUGUUCAAUUGAAGGUGAAAACAUAUCUUCUGGGAACAGAUCUGUCUAACUUCAAAUACGAUGACUUCAUAUUUGUACUUGAUGUUAUCAGCAGGCUGAUGCAGGUUGGAGAAGAAUUUUGUGGCAGUAAGUCUGAAGUUUUGCAAGAAUCUAUCAGAAAACAAAGUGUUAACUAUUUCAAGACAUAUCACAGAACCCGUCUGGAAGAACUAAGAAUGUUUUUGGAGAAUGAGACCUGGGAACUUUGUCCUGUUAAAUCAAGCUUUAGUAUUUUGCAGCUUCAUGAAUUUAAGUUCUUGGAGCAAUCGCGUUCCCCAUCAGUGUCGCCAAGUAAACAGCCUGCCUCAGCAAUUUCAUCUACGGUAACGCUGUUUGAGCAGUACUGUAACGGAGGAAACCCCUUUGAAAUUCAGGCUGACAGCAAAGAUGAUGAGACAGAAGAUGUGUUGGCUUCCAAUGGGUAUGAAUCAGAUGAACAAGAAAAAAGUGCAUAUCAGGAGUAUGAUAGCGACAGUGAUGUUCCUGAAGAGUUGAAAAGAGAUUAUGUGGAUGAGCAGACAGGAGAUGCCCCGAUAAAAAGUGUUUCUCGAGAAACUCUGAAGAGCAGAAAGAGAUCAGAUUAUAACCUCAAUAAAGUGAAUGCACCUAUUCUAACCAACACUACACUGAAUGUAAUAAGGCUUGUUGCUUCCUUGCACUGGCAAUGUGUAAUGACCUUGUGCAGCCAGCAGAUCCUUCACUUCCCCAUCUUUUUCCAAGAGAUAAGCUGCUAGCUUAUAGUAGAAAGAUGCAUGUUUUUUAAUUAAUUGUCCCCUAAAUGCAUGGAUUUACAAUUUGUGCUAGUGAAUUUCAUCCAAUUCUUACAACAAUAAUCAUCAAGUACUCCUGUACAUUAUGUCAGUCCUUUUCUGUUUUGUUGGUGCCUCUUUAUUUUUUCUAUUUUUUAUUUUUUUUUCUAUUAUCACUCUAUUUUUGUGCCAGAGUAAUUAAUGAACAUAUUAAAGAGAUGGCUGAUUGCUGAGAACUCCACGGGUAGCUUUUUAUUUUUUUUUUUCCUUUUUAACACACACUAGCUUCAUUUAUUGUGUUUAUGUGCAAUAUUGUUAAAUUAAUAAUUUCACCAAAUCCCAGGUAGAUGAAAUGUACUGUGUCGUUUAUGUAGAAAAUAAUGUACCUUAGUCUGGUACAGUUGACUUCUGUUAGAUCCAUGAUUUAUCUUAAUUUUGCCUCCAUAUUUCUGUUUCUGUCAUUUCUAUACUUGCUUCAAAACAAUCUGAAAUUCUGGAUCCGAAAAAUUAGAUCAGUAGUUAUGAUUCAGUAGUCAUUUGGAUUUCUACUUUCCCUCUUUAAUAUGUUUUUCUUUGCUGUUUUUCAGUCAUAGUGAUGAAGAUGCAGAUUUAAGCUGCCUAAUCAAGUAACAGAAAUAAUUGCCUUCCUUUUUAGGAAGGUAGUAGUGCCCAUUGUGUCAUACUGAAUGCGUAUGACAUUGUUUCUUAACCAUUUUGAACUAUUUCAAUGUGCUGUAUGCUUUGUGUGGAGGCUAAAUUAAUAAUAAAAAAGUAGCUUAAUAUUUAUAAAUUACAUCGAGUUGCUAAUGUAUAAUUGAAGUGGGAGCCAAUACAAUUGUUUGAAUUUCAAGUGAACAGUUCAAUUUAUCAGAUUUCUCUCACAUUAAUUAAGGCAAUUAUUUCUCUUUCUAGUAUAAAGUAGCCAUUAGACUAAUUUAUAAUAUAAUUUAUAAGGUUAAAUAUAAUUUAUAAGGUUAAUUUUUCCUAUCAAGCCGUUGCAUGUUGACUUAAAAUGUAAAGGAGGAAUAAAACUGUGUUAAAUUUGUAUGGAAUAUUUUAACUAAGCACUAUAUAUCAACAAAAAUAAUUAAUCACUAUGCCAUUGUAUGUAUUGAUUCAGUGGUCUCUUAAUUAAUAUCGUUCUGACCUAAGAAAGAGUUUAGUGGGUAUUUCUUAUUGAUGGGUUUUAAUGCUUUUUUGGCCUUAUUUUUGCUUGUGUUAAGAAUGGGUUUUGAGGACGAAUUCUUAGAUUUUGUUUGCUUUAAACCCCAUUAUCUUUACAGAAAAUAAUAAUAGUGAUGACACAGCAGAAGUUGUUAGCUGAAGUGAUUGGUCACAUAACCUUGAAUCUCAUGUGACUUAAAAAAAGCUUAAAUCACACUUAAGUAUUUCAAAAUGAUUUAGCUACAACAGACUUUACACUUUUUCCUUCAAACUGGUGUUCUAGUUCUUCAUAUCUUCCUUUCACCAUUCCUUUUUCCUGGUCACCUGGGUCAGGAAUUCCCUGCAGAUGGUCUUGUCAAUGAAGACUGAUGCACAGAAGGCAUGCUGCCCUGCUUCCUUCAUGCAGGAUACUGAGCUCCACAGUCUCAUGGUCACUGUAGCCAAGGCUACCCCAACCUUCACACCUCUAAAAAGGCCUUCCUUGUUUAUUAGUAUAAGUAUUAGUAUUGGUAUAAGCAAUGCACCAUUCCUCAUUGGUAUCUUCCACCAUCUCUGUCAUGAAGUUGUCAGUGCUUUACUGUUUGUGCUUUGCUGUUUUGUUCUUCUAGCAGAUGUCAGGAUGACUGAAGUCCCCUGUGUGAACCAGGGCCUGUGACCAUGAGGCUGCUUCUAUUUGUCUGUUAAAAGACUCCAUCCACUUCCUUCUUCACAUCAGGUUGCCUGUAGCAAACACCCCUGACAGUGUCACCCUUACUAGUCUUCCCUGUUAAUCUAAGCUUCACUUAAGCUCUUGACUGACUCGUCAUCCACCACAAGACAGAGCUUGAUACACUCCAGGUGUUGCCUCACAUACACGCCAACUCCACCACUGUUCUUUCCAGGUCUGUCUUUCCUAAACAGCAUGUCAUGACAUCUUCAUGUCACACAAGCUAUCCCAACAUACCUCCGUAACUGCAAUGAGAUCAAAGCCCUGUGACUGCAUACACAUCUCCAAUUCCUCCUGUUUGUUCCCUGUGCUGCAUGCAGUGGUAUACAGGCACUUCAUAGAGCACAAUAAAAGGGCAAGAAGGAUGCAAUUUUAGAGAGAGCCCGCAGGAAGUGUGGGAUCUCUGCAAUAUCAAGAGUUUUCAUUAAGUGUGCUUCGUUUAUGACCCA